rnacentral:rRNA from 1 species
UACAGAGGUCUCAAGCGUUGUUCGGAUUCAUUGGGCGUAAAGGGUGCGUAGGUGGCGCCGUAAGGCGGGUGUGAAAUUUCGGAGCUUAACUCCGAAACUGCAUUCGAUACUGCGGUGCUUGAGGACUGGAGAGGAGACUGGAAUUCAUGGUGUAGCAGUGAAAUGCGUAGAGAUCAUGAGGAAGACCAGUGGCGAAGGCGGGGCUCUGGACAGUUCCUGACACUGAGGCACGAAGGCCAGGGGAGCAAACGGG